UGACGGUUAAGCUGUCACCUUGCUACCAAUAGGCAAAUGCAUGCGAUGCAACAACACCACCAAGUCAAUGGUGCAAAUAGAAGCUUUGACAUUUAUAAGUCGAACGCCAACGCCCUUCUCCCAGCGGCUGAGUGUUGAUGCUGGAACGACUCAACAGAAGUAACAGCAACUGCGGAGUAGUCAGGCAAUUCAGGGCUUCCAACAUGCUUGGCCUAUUCAUCAGCUGCCAAGAAAUACAAUGAAAGCCGUUAAAAAAAAAACAACUCUUGCAGUGGCAACAAAGUACAACAGUGAACGGAGAUCAGUUGUGUCUAAAUUCAGGGUUACGUGCCAAAUGUGUCACUAUUUCGCUGCCACUAAAGGAUUAUACGGACACUUGUUGGUUGAUGCUGAUACAGACGAAGAGGUAGCUGAACCGAAUGCCAGUUUAGAAGCAACUUUUUGGUCUAAAUUCAAUGUGCUUUUUUCCAAGAAAAACAUUCUUUUUGGUUUUAACAAAUUUCAUCUGUUCAGGUGAAA